UAGUUUUUGUAGUUAAAG
rnacentral:tRNA from 1 species